GUUAACAACGCGCGUAGUGUAUGUGGUUUGCGGGUGUGUAUGGAACUAUCGGCUUUGCAUGUUUACGCUGUAAAUAAAACAAUUUUGACAUUGGUUGAACGGGAACGAAAUAAAUCUUGAAAGAAAGAAAUUCAGCUAGAGAAAGUUGACCUCAUUCAACACAAUGAUUGUUUAUGUCUAAGACAGGACCAAGACAGCGCUUUUUCAACACCUUUGGUUCAAAUAUAGUGGAUAGAGUAUGAUGGAAAGGUGCCUGGAUGUUACUGCUUUUAUGGACAGGAAGGGAUACCCGUGUUGUGCUUGUGUGAGGACCUUGUAGAUGAUGUUGAAGUGAGAACUACAUAUAGCGAGAGUGUGUUUGGGGGGAAAUGAUGUUUCAACAACUGAGACACCACAGAUAAUAGUUUGGAACAUAAUGAACUUGUUGGAUGAUUAGUGAUCAGGGUCAAUGUUUGUGCCUCACAUGAUAGUGGCCGUAUUGCUGGCAGUGUGCCUUUUGAGGCUCUCCACCCCUCCAAGUUUGCAAAUAUGGCGGCGUUGAUAGAAGUAUGCGUUAUUUGUUUGCAACUUCAAUUUGUUUAUUAUACUGUCCUAUUUCAAUUGGAUCACUGUAAUUAAUGUAGUUACGAGCGCAAUGUCAGUAUAUCCCCUAAUCACCUAACUACUGACCCCUCUCAUGCCAUUUAUACGCAGGUCAAAGAAUCCACUUCCUGGCCCCUGUGAAACUUGUUAACAGACUUCUUUCUUGCCACUAUAUGGAAACUGUGUAUGUGUUAACAGGAAAGCAUCGCUGACUCCUAUCACAUGAUGUGUUUAAUAUAAAAACAGGGGCAUAUACAAAUGGUUGAUAUCCAGUUUCUGUAAGCUGCAUUUUAUUGCAAAGUAUGUUGUUUUCUUACCAAAGAAUCUUAGCGUUUUUCAUUUUUAAUAUGUUUUGUCUGUGAUACUAGUAUCUUUGAUUUUAUCUAUGUAAACAAUUAAUAUAUAUGUAUAUAUUUAUAUAUAUAUAUAUAUAUAUAUAUAUAUA